UUCCAUUUUGACUGAAUUUAUUAUUGCAAAUUACUGUAGUGUAGCAACUUAUACAAUAGUGAGCGGAGGAGUUCAUUGGAUUAUUACAAAAGUGUCCGAGGGAUGAAUCCUUUUAAGUCUGCGCCUUGCCCGCCGAGACGCAAGUCUCCUGGCUAGAAUGUUUGGGGAACUUUAAGGUCCCUCGCUAGGUCAGUGUUCCGAAUAAACCACUCAGCACCAGUAAUUCUCCGCAGGAACUUGCUUUGGAAGACCCGGAUGUAACUCAGAUUAGAUUUGGCCGCUAUGCCAUAAACUUGAAUCCCAUAUCUCCAAGUAGGGGCAAGUAUGGACUUGUAUAUCUGGACCUUAUUCGCCAGACUCAGGUGAUUAUUUGCCUUUAGGAGCCAGUACAGCCUUCUGGCUUUAUCCUCCAAUGAACGCCUAACUAACCUU